rnacentral:misc_RNA from 1 species
GGGAAAUUUAUUAAUUGAUCAUGACAUAUAACAUAAAGAAAUAGAAAGAUAACUCAAGGGUAAGAAAAGAAGCACAAAACAACUAAGCACACAGAAUUUCAAUUCCAGAAAUAUCUGUCACAGGACCGAAAGUGUGUUGAGUAAACCCAUCAUAAGCCACAUGUGACCCUUUGAUAUGGUUGAAUUGGACAAUUAAAGCAUCACCAGAUACAUAAUUAUCAACUGAAAAUUCUAUCUUCACUUUCGGAUGCUUAGCUCAUCGGUAUCACAGAAGAAAACUAAACAAGAGUUGGGCAUAAUUUGAAUUUUUGCAGCUAUUUCCUUGCCAUGGCAGAAAAAAAGUUGGCUUUUCUCCAAGUCAAUCUCAUCCCUGUUACCUUGUCACAUAUGAUAAACCAGAAAACCCACCUCUUGUUAUCCAGUGGGUUAAGAUGAUAGAAGUUCCUUCUAAAGGAGGUGAACCAAACACAAGCUAAUAGAAUCACCCCACGAGUGCGUACAGCACUCAAGCCCUUGGAGUUUCAGUGGUCCAACAUUAGACGUAAAUGGGAAAUGAAUUUAAUUCCUAGCUUCUUGAAAUGAUGUCAGCUGGCUUUCCCAUCUAAAUUAGCUUAUUUGCACUUGAUCUAAAAUACGUUUUGAUAAUAACCUAAUGCAUGUGUUUUUGCUGUCUAUCCAUUGACAACGUCACAACUAACUAGAUGAUGCGUAUCGCACAAGAUUCAUAGCAUUCUGAUUCAUCUCAGACCUUUUAGAAAAGAGAGAGGGUAUGAUAACAAUUUUACAGUUGCAGUUCACUUAAAAACUUCUAGUGCAAAAAAGACAAAAUCAGAGAUCAUCACAAGUUUCCUAUUCUGCAAUGAGACAGUUCUCCAAAUUAAAAUGAGGAGGACAAGCCAAAAGAGCAUACAGAUUCAAAGUUAGGCUUUGAAUAUGAACAAAAGAUAUGUCUAUGCCCCAUCUGGCUGCAUGAAAGGGUUGGCAAUUUCAUCUGUCCCUUCAGUUGGUGAGACCAGCAUUACAGCAGUUCCCCUGCAAACCUGCAGCACAAUGAAAUGCAAGUCCAAUUACAUUAUAAAUUUGUACGAGUUUUCACUAACCAAUAACAUGCGAGGGCAUAACCAAAUGAAAAUUAUGCAUUGUGACAAAGCAAGGAAGCUGAUGGUAAAAAACAAGGAUAAUUAUUGUGAAAUUGGACAAAGAUAUAAAAGCAUCAAGGACAAUUCACAACUAACUUUAUGCCACAAUUGGCCAAAAUACAUUUUCAAACCCAUGCAACAGCUCCUUCUCAGUGAAUGCAUAAAUAGUACUACACAAACCCAAAGAAACAUACUAUUAAGCCAAGGCGCCUGGUCUGGCCAGUGGUCUUCAGUGGAUCAUCAGGAUCUCUUAGAUAUUCUAUAGCUUCAUCCAGGACAAGAUUUAACAAUUGAUCAUACCCUUUCAGAGUCCCUGUCACUUGUCUACCACCAGUGAGCUUGACUUGGACACCCUUAUCCACAAAUUUUGCCAAAUCCAACACAGUUUCUUUCCUUCCUGACUGAAGAACAACUACUACACAUUAAAAGGAAAACAAAAUGGAAGAACCACUUAAUCAUUCUAAUUAAAAGACGGAAAAAAAAAGAAUUUAAGUUACCAUCUUUACACAGAAAUCUGAGAACCCUGAAACUGAAUACUGAAAAACGUAAAUGCAUUUGCUAGAACUGAUUUAACGGUGAAAAUCAACAACAAACAAUCAAAUAAGAAAAGAAACAACUGACUUUCGUUUUAGCAGAAAAUUGCAGUGUGCCCUAGCUUGCCUCUUCCCCCUUGCCAGAGACUGCUUCGCCUUUUCCCGCUUGCGCGUAGAAGUUAUUUGGACUCGUUCCCUCUUCUCGCUUUGGCCCAAGGGAGAGGGAGAAGGAGAAGGAAUCCACACCAAAA